rnacentral:rRNA from 1 species
UGACGUGGGGGCACCCUGACCGCAAUGCCGCGUGGGUGAAGAAGGCCUUCGGGUUGUAAAGCUCUUUUGUCAGGGAAGAAACGCCGGCUCUAACACAGUCCGGGAAUGACGGUACCUGAAGAAUAAGCACCGGCUAACUACGUGCCAGCAGCCGCGGUAAUACGUAGGGUGCGAGCGUUAAUCGGAAUUACUGGGCGUAAAGCGUGCGCAGGCGGUUAUACAAGACAGGCGUGAAAUCCCCGGGCUUAACCUGGGAAUGGCGCCUGUGACUGUAUAGCUAGAGUGUGUCAGAGGGGGGUAGAAUUCCACGUGUAGCAGUGAAAUGCGUAGAUAUGUGGAGGAAUACCAAUGGCGAAGGCAGCCCCCUGGGAUAACACUGACGCUCAUGCACGAAA